AACAUUAGAAUGUUUAGAGUUACAUAUUUCUCUGUACUAAGAAACCCCUGAAAUUUGUCCAUCCUAGAAGAUAACUUUGAGUGUCUUGAGACUUCUUGGGUGUCCAUUUAGUCUAAGCAGCUAAUGGUCUUCAGGAAGAUCUUCAUCACCUUUGGAUGGUGUCCCAAACCUGCUCAUCUAAGUCCAUAUUGACCUUGAUGUACAGCAAUCCUUGUAUUUUCAGUACUAGCUCCCAAGAUCUCCAUCUUUAGAUGCUUCUGGAACAUUUGGUCUUCCUCACCUGAAGAUUUAUCCUCACUCACUUCCCAGUCUCUGGUAACCCCUACUGUACUUUCCAUCCCUACAGAUCUUACUCUACCAGAUGCUUCAUUUUCUCCCAUAAUUCCCUGCCAAGACCAACAUUUCCUAUUACUACUAAGUAGCUAAGACCACCUGGAUCCAUCUUCCAAAUGUAUAAAUUCACCUAUAAUAUGCGGAGUUCUGCUGAAGUGAAGGUGUGGAUCUUCAGACUGGCAAGCCUCAUUUGCAGCUCUAUUGUCUGGGGUUUUGGAAUAAGCCUAGCUACUAGUAGAUACUGGCGUCUGUGGGAAUUCAACAACAAGGCUCCACACCUGGUGUACAUUGGACUGUGGGAAGCUUACUAUUAUGAAGAAGUCAACAAAUCGGGUUUAAUAACCAGGGUGCCCGUGCACAGUGCUAUGAACUCCAACUGGACCAUUUCAAUAGAAAUUGAGUAUGCACGGGGCUUGAUUUUAUUGAUUAAUUUUAUGCAGCCCAUAGUCCUUAUUUUCACCUCAUUGGCCAUUAUGGUCUGCUGGAUGAGAGCUCCAUACCCUGAUUUCAUGAUGUUGUGCUACAAAACCUCCAUAUUGUUUCUGAUUGUCAACAUAAUUUGCACAGUUUGGGCUGUGAGCUGGAACCAUGUUGCAGACAUUUACGGUAAAAGCACCCUUGAUUUCCCACCAGCGUUUCCCGUUGGGAAAGAUGAUCUGCUAAGGAAGCAGAAAACCCAUGUGCUCCCAUUGGGUUUGCUGAUGGCCAUGCUUUCAGUCAUCAGCAUCUUUAUGUUGUUGUAUGAGAUGUGGUUGAUUAAACCACAGACUAGAGUUAAGCCCUCGAUUGUCUCGAUAAGUCAACAUAUGACAACCUUAGCUGAGAGUCCUUUAUCAGUAACAUCUUCCGGAGUACUCAUUUGAGAUAUUUUCUACAUAAAUAUAAACAUACUCUGGUCAUCUACUCAUUUAAAAUAAAACAUUCAUUUGAUUU